rnacentral:lncRNA from 1 species
UGAGGUGGUGCUGUCAAAAGGGACCCUCACCAGAGCCUACACCAUGCUUAUUUGGACUACAGGCCUCCAAAACUGUGAGCUAAAUAAACCUUUCUUUAUAAAGUUUGCCCAUCUCAGAUAUUUUCAUUAUACUAACACAAAAUGACUACACUGUGUAUUUAACUUUUCCCAUAUUUAGAUUAUUUAAUUAGGAUGGAUUUACCUACAGCCACUUUGAGAAGGUCUUGUUGAGCCAUGCCCCUGGGAAACCCUGGGAAAGCACAAAAAAGAUUUUAAGCAAGGGAGAGAGACAGUGUCAGAAUUGUGAUUCAGAAAUAAGACUGCGGUGGCAAUUAAAAGAUUGUAGAGAAAAGAGAAGAGACAGGGAAAUAGAUCCGUUGGGAUGUUUCUUACUAGUUCAGGCAAGUGGUAAUGAAGGCUUGACCUGAGACAAUGGGAAUAAAAAGUAGGAAAGAUUACAGAUCACAAAAUAUCUGUGACCUAG